rnacentral:sRNA from 1 species
AGAUCAUAAGCCUAAACUCUGCAGGCUGGCUAAAGGUGAAAAUGGCUAUGGCUUUCACUUAAAUGCGAUUCGGGGUCUGCCAGGCUCAUUCAUCAAAGAGGUACAGAAGGGCGGUCCUGCUGACUUGGCUGGGCUAGAGGAUGAGGAUGUCAUCAUUGAAGUGAAUGGGGUGAAUGUGCUAGAUGAACCCUAUGAGAAGGUGGUGGAUAGAAUCCAGAGCAGUGGGAAGAAUGUCACAUUUCUAGUCUGUGGAAAGAAGGCCUAUGAUUAUUUCCAAGCUAAGAAAAUCCCUAUUGUUUCCUCCCUGGCUGAUCCACUUGACACCCCUCCAGAUUCUAAAGAAGGAAUAGUGGUGGAGUCAAAGCAUGAUUCGCACAUGGCAAAAGAACGGGCGGCUAUUGCAGACGGCUAAUUUAUGCUUAACUUAGGAAGAGAUAAGGUUCCUUGAGCACCAAAGAUGAUUCAUAACUCUGUAUAGGUGACAGCUGCUUAUAAAAGCAUCUUAGCAGAUAAGCCUAUUAAAAUUGUGCUUUUGUAACAAUGUUGUGGUUGCUAGAAUAAAUACCAUUAACAAAUGC